GUCUAUGGCCAUGCCACCCUGAACGUGCCCCAUCUCGUCUGAUCUCGGAAGCUAAGCAGGGUCAGGCUGGUUAGUACUUGGAUGGGAGACCACCUAGAAAUACCAGAUAGUAGGUA
rnacentral:rRNA from 1 species